rnacentral:rRNA from 1 species
UUCUCUGGUGCUCUUGCCAUGGUGGAACCACACCAAUCCAUCCCGAACUUGGAUGUGAAACAGCAGGGGGGUGACAAUACUUGUGGGGGCGCCUGCCGGAAAGAUAGCCUAGUGCCAGGGGA